CUCUCUCUCUCUCUCUCUCUCUUUUCUGCGUUCUACAUGGUAGAUGACCUCUUAGCCCAAAAUUAUUGAUCUGUGUACGUGGUUUCUUGUCUGAGGGGCAAAUAUGAGACAUCUAAGCAGAAAAAGGCUGGGGCGACAAAGGAGCACUGGGUGUGCGAUGGAGCAGCCGGGAGGACGCAGACCUUGAAGCCAGACAGCGAGGCGCUCCCCGCGGGGAAACCCAGCGAGCGAGCUGUGGUGGCCUGAAACUGGGUGAUCGCGCUCGCGGCCACUCGCGUGCGACUCGGAGCGACGCGGGAGCGGCGGGGAGAGGACGACGCCAAGCCAGCCUGCGCGGGGGCGACGGCCGGC